UCAGGUGGGAAAGGAGCGAGCUACACUCCGGCUGCAGGAACUGACUACACCCAGGGCUCGGAUUCAUCUCUCAUGACGUGAGCAGCCUCCCACCUGGCUCACAGGCCAGCACAGCCAGGCCCGGCUGUAUCUCCAGCUACUGCUGGGCCCCGAGAGCUGAGGCUGUGCCAGGCUGCAGCCCAAGCCCCUGCCCCCAUUGCUUCACGAAGACAGCAGAGUUUCUUGAUGAAGAUACAAAUGGAGUGGAGCAGACACAGCUUUUUCCAGGACGCUUCCUGCUUUAUCCCACCCUUGUUUUAAUUAAAGCCCUAAAACCAUUUGCUGAGCACUGGGGUUGGUGACCUCAGCACUUCUGAGAUCCCCACAUCCCCCUGCUCUGUGCGCGACCCUAAUAAACUCAUGCACCG